GGCGCGAAAACUUUGCAAUACACGAAAGUGUGACAGGGUCAUCCCGAGUGCCGACCGCUGAGGUUGGCUUUUACCCAGUCUAGAAAGCUGGGGGAAUAAGGAGAGGGCAAGUCUGGUGUCAGCCGCCGCGGUAAUACCAGCUCUCCGAGUGGUGUGGACGUUUAUUGGGCCUAAAGCAUCCGUAGCUGGCUGAACAAGUCCCCUGUUAAACCCACCGAUUUAAUCGUUGGUCUGCGGGGGAUACUGCUCGGCUAGGGGACGAGAGAGGCAGACGGUAUUCCCGGGGUAGGGGUGAAAUCCUAUAAUCCCGAGAAGACCACCAGUGGCGAAGGCUGUCUGCUAGAACGCGCCCGACGGUGAGGGAUGAAAGCUGGGGGAGCGAACCGGAUUAGAUACCCGGGUAGUCCCAGCUGUAAACGAUGCAGACUAGGUGUUUGGACGGCCACGUGCCGUUCUAGUGCCGCAGGGAAGCUGUUAAGUCUGCCGCCUGGGGAGUACGAUCGCAAGAUUGAAACUUAAAGGAAUUGGCGGGGGAGCAC
rnacentral:rRNA from 1 species